rnacentral:rRNA from 1 species
GAUCUCAGAUCAGGCGAAGCUACGCGCUGAACUUAAGCAUAUCAAUAAGCGCAGGAAAAGAAACUAACUAGGAUUCCCUCAGUAACGGCGAGUGAAGCGGGAAAAGCUCAACUUUAAAAUCUGGGCGCAAGCUCCGAAUUGUAGUUUAGAGAGGCGUUUUCGGCGACGGCUCCGGUAUAAAUCCUUUGGAACAGGGUAUCAUAGAGGGUGAGAAUCCCGUCUUUGACCGGAGAGUAUAAAUGUUGCUAUGUGAUACGCUUUCGACGAGUCGGGUUGUUUGGGACUACAGCCCAAAAUGGGUGGUAAAUUUCAUCUAAAGCUAAAUAUUGAAGCGAGACCGAUAGCGAACAAGUACCGUGAGGGACAGAUGAAAAGAACUUUGAAAAGAGAGUAAAAUAGUACGUGAAAUUGUUAAAAGGGAAAUGC